AAAAGACUUAGUCCUAACCUUACAGUUCGUUCUUGCUAGAUAUAUACAUGCAAGCAUCCGCACUCCAGUGCAAAUGCCCAAAACCCUCACCCGAGACAAAAGGAGCAGGUAUCAGGCCCACCCUUCGUAGCCCAAGACACCUUGCUAUAGCCACACCCCCACGGGUACUCAGCAGUAAUAGACCUUAAGCAAUAAGUGCAAACUUGACUUAGCCAUAGCAACCAUAGGGCUGGUUAACCUUGUGCCAGCCACCGCGGCCAUACAAGAAGCCCAAACUAACUGACACACGGCGUAAAGAGUGGUACAACACUAUCCAUCCAACUAGGACCAAAAUGUAGUCGAGCUGUCAUAAGCCCAGACCACACACAAGCCCCCCCUCAAAACGAUCCUAGCAACCUGGACUGACCAACCCCACGAAAGCCAGGGCACAAACUGGGAUUAGAUACCCCACUAUGCCUGGCCCUAAAUCCAGAUGCCACACCCCACUAAGCAUCCGCCCGAGAACUACGAGCACAAACGCUUAAAACUCUAAGGACUUGGCGGUGCCCCACACCUACCUAGAGGAGCCUGUCCUAUAAUCGAUACCCCACGAUACACCCGACCGCUCCUUGCCACAGCAGCCUACAUACCGCCGUCGCCAGCUCACCUCCCUGAGAGAACAACAAUGAGCACAACAGCCAACAACCACUAACAAGACAGGUCAAGGUAUAGCCAAUGGAGCGGAAGAGAUGGGCUACAUUUCCUAACUCAGGAAACCACGAAAGGGAUCAUGAAAACCAACCCCCGAAGGAGGAUUUAGCAGUAAAGUGGGACAACUAAGCCCCCUUUAAACCAGCCCUGGGGCACGUACAUACCGCCCGUCACCCUCCUCACAAGCUACCCGCCCCACACAUACCUAAUGCAACAACCAGCUAACAGACGAGGUAAGUCGUAACAAGGUAAGUGUACCGGAAGGUGCACUUAGCAUACA
rnacentral:ncRNA from 1 species